UAACUGUCUCCUAAAAAUGAUGCAAUCUUAUGUAAAUAGUUUGUGUUUAUCAUUUUGCUUAUCAUUGGGCCCGUGCUUGCACGAAAUUCUUCGUCUAGUAUCCUUAUAAAAUGGAUAUGUCCAAACGUUGAUAUAGUUUAGGUAUGGGACGAUUUCGGUCCACCUCCACCUAUUUUACUUUUUAGCAAACAUUUACUUCAUGCCUCGUACAAUUAAGCAUAUUAGGGGCCCGCUCAGAUAGGAUUAAAGAAUUAGCUUUUUACUUUAAGUGAUUAAAAGUUUAAAAUAGGUGUUAUAAAUUAAAUAUAU
rnacentral:lncRNA from 1 species